UACGUAGGGUGCAAGCGUUAAUCGGAAUUACUGGGCGUAAAGCGUGCGCAGGCGGUUUUGCAAGACAGGUGUGAAAUCCCCGGGCUUAACCUGGGAACUGCAUUUGUGACUGCAAGGCUGGAGUGCGGCAGAGGGGGAUGGAAUUCCGCGUGUAGCAGUGAAAUGCGUAGAUAUGCGGAGGAACACCGAUGGCGAAGGCAAUCCCCUGGACCUGUACUGACGCUCAUGCACGAAAGCGUGGGGAGCAAACAGG
rnacentral:rRNA from 1 species